rnacentral:lncRNA from 1 species
GGGUUUGCAAUGCAAUGUGUUCUGUAUUUGCAAUGCAAUGUGUUCUGGGUUUGCAAUGCAAUGCAAUCUGUUCUGGGUUUGCAAUGCAAUGCAACCUGUUCUGGGUUUGCAAUGCAAUGCAAUCUGUGCUGGGAUUGCAAUGCAUUCUGUGUUUGCAAUGCAACGUGUUCUGGGUGUGCAAUGCAAUGCAAUCUGUGCUGGGUGUGCAAUGCAUUCUGUGUUUGCAAUGCAAUCUGUGCUGGGUGUGCAAUGCAAUGCAAUGCAAUCUGUGCUGGGUGUGCAAUGCAAUGCAAUCUGUGCUGGGUGUGCAAUGCAAUGCAAUCUGUGCUGGGAUUGCAAUGCAAUCUGCUCUGGCUGUGCAAUGCAAAGUGUUCUGGGUGUGCAAUGCAAUGCAAUCUGUGCUGGGUUUGCAAUGCAAUCUGUUCUGGGUUUGCAAUGCAAUGCAAUGCAAUCUGUUCUGGGUGUGCAAUGCAAUGCAAUCUGCUCUGCGUGUGCAAUGCAUUCAGUGUUUGCAAUGUAAUCUGUUCAGGGUGUGCAAUGCAAUGCAUUCAGUGUUUGCAAUGCAAUCUGUUCUGGGCAUGCAAUGCAAUGCAAUCUGUGCUGCGUUUGCAAUGCAAUCUGGUCAGUAUUUGCAAUGCAAUGCAAUCUGUGCUGGGUGUGCAAUGCAAUGCAAUCUGU